GCUAUAUCAAGGAUUUUAUAAAACGCUGAAAAGCAAGGAUAAGUUAAGUAACAUGGUAGUGACUUAAUAUCUAUGUAAAGGACAGAGAGAAACUUCCAUAUUUCUGUUUGCUGAUGACACUAUUUUUGGCACAUCAUGUUCCUUUCUAUACACUGCUCACUCUUCAUUACAAACCAGCAUGAAAACUCUUCAAAGUACACUAGACUUUAACCAUAAGUAAACGUAAACUACAAUGUUUUACCUACAAGUUCAAGGAGAUAUCUACACUGAACAAAGAUAUCAACGCAACACUUUUGUCUCUGUCCCCAUCUUCGAGAGAUGAACUCAAAGAUCUGAAACAUUUCCUAUAUUCACAAAAUAACCAUUUCUCUCAAAAAACAAAAAUGUUGCAUUUGUAUCAGGGUUCAAUUCCCAAGGGGCGCAACGGGCAAGACUAUGAAUUGUCCAACUACACUGAAAAAACGGGAAAAGUGGGGUUGUUCAAUUUACAAAUACUAAACAUGUUUGUUUAAUAUGAACAAAUUAUGUUUACCUUCGAAACAUAAUAUAAUCUUGAAAAUCACACAUAAUUUCUUGCAGUGUUACUUUUAUAUAUUUAAAUCAUGUUGACAAAACAUGAAAUAGUUAUGCUUGAUCCUUUGCCCCUUAAUUUUGGAUAAGUAAACCCCAUCGGUGAAGAAGCAUUCCAGGAGGGGAAACUUUGCAGUCAGCCAUUUUAGAGAAGCUGCAAGCACCUGCUGGCCGGAGGAGCUUAAAAAAGAUUCCCCCUAUUUGAUAAAUUAAUAUGGUGUGACGGGGUCCCGCCGAGAAAGGAUGCAGAGGAGCCAAGAGCUCAUCACACAACACUUCCAACUGCUCCUCCCUGAUCAUGCUGGGGUCCAUGCUCCAGUCUUCACUGAGUCAGACUGCUGACCUUCUCGCCAAUAUAAGCAAGUUCAGGGGUUGAUUCAAAGUACAGAAUGAAGACCAUGCAGCAAUCCAGGAGGCAAUCGAGGACACCACGGUGGGAAUUUCCCUCCUAAUGGAAAGUGGCGAGGAAGAGGACAUUCUCAUGGUCCACAUCUCCCAGGCUGUGGUGGUCGACCCACCAAGUGUCAAGAGUGGCAGUUGCCAAGGCUUUUUUGGCCUUAUUUACAGCACAAAUCUGAUUACCAUCCUCAUCUCAGAAACACCUUUGAGGUAAUUCAAAGAAAAACUGUAAUAGAGUUAUAGGGCAAAGUUGUAUCUAAGGUUUCAGGCUUAAAGAGCCGACUCUUUUAAUAAAAAUGACUUUUAAAAAGUUUUUCCUAAGAAGGGAUUCCAGCGGUUUGCUUUGGCUCUGUUAUCUUCUGUUUAAUAAAAAUAGCAAGCCCAAUUUAUAUUGAUUUGUACUUUUUGCUACACUGUAAACAUAUUUUUCAAGUUUA